AAUUAAUAAAUUAAUAUAAAAUA
rnacentral:tRNA from 1 species